GACGAACGCUGGCGGCGUGCUUAACACAUGCAAGUCGAACGGUAAGGCCCUUCGGGGUACACGAGUGGCGAACGGGUGAGUAACACGUGGGUGAUCUGCCCUGCACUUCGGGAUAAGCCUGGGAAACUGGGUCUAAUACCGGAUAGGACUCCGGACUGCAUGGUCUGGGGUGGAAAGCUUUUGCGGUGUGGGAUGGGGCCGCGGCCUAUCAGCUUGUUGGUGGGGUGAUGGCCUACCAAGGGGACGACGGGUAGCCGGCCUGAGAGGGUGACCGGCCACACUGGGACUGGGAUGAGGCCCAGACUCCUACGGGAGGCAGCAGUGGGGAAUAUUGCACAAUGGGCGCAAGCCUGAUGCAGCGACGCCGCGUGAGGGAUGACGGCCUUCGGGUUGUAAACCUCUUUCAGCAUCGACGAAGCGAAAGUGACGGUAGGUGCAGAAGAAGGACCGGCCAACUACGUGCCAGCCGCCGCCGUAA
rnacentral:rRNA from 1 species